GCAGGUGCAUGAAUUUUAAUGAAGGGGAAUGAUGGCAGGUCUGAGUUUGAGGAGGGUGAUCACCAACAUUCAGGGUAUCUUGGGCCAGUGCUUUGCGUAGGACAAAACACCAGGUUCGUCUUUGCCAGCCACAUUUAUCCUCAUGAAGGACUGGAGACAGCACGACUGGUAAUUUCUGCAGUAGAAGUAGGUAUGCUCUAUCUUCCUGCAAGCGGUCCUGCAGACGCCCAUGCUACCCAUGCAUCGAAGGAGGGAAUGUCUUCCUGGACAAAAUAUAAAAUAACAUGACAGUGAUAAUUAAUUUCCACUUGGCAGUGACAUAGAUCUGAUGGGUCCGGGAGCAUCAUAAAAACCUAAAGGUUGACAGAGACUUCCACUUCCAGAAAAACAGUGCCAAAGUCAUUUUCUCUACUUGUCUUCUUAAAACCCUGGGCAUUAUACAUAAAUAUAAGAAUCCUCUGAAAGGUAAAGAGAAGAAGUCAAGCCAGGCAGGGACCUCAAGAUCUGAGGAACGAUCUCUUAGGUUUGAUUUUGCCUCUUAUAUUCUAGGAUGGUGCUGGAGAAGCUGGCAAUCUGGAAAUACAUGUGGGUGCAGAGAUUUUUUUAAAAAGAAGAAGAAGAAGUCCCUAAGAAAAUUCUGCUCUUUCUAGUCCAAAGACCAGGAAAAGGGCAGCCUAGCAAAACAGAACGUUUUAGACAGUAGCCUCUUUGCUCAAAAAACACAGAAAAGUCUACAGCCCCAUUCAUACCUCUAGUAAAUAUGGCCAAGUGG
rnacentral:lncRNA from 1 species